GGAACUGCUAGGUGGUGAUCAUAGUCUGCACCACAAUCAUGCAGCCCUCAUUCUCAUCCGGCUGUCCUACCUGCUGUCUGAGAAGCCAAAGGAAAAGGCCUUGCUUGUAGAGGAUGCUCGCUUUCAGCAACUUGUCAGGCUAGUUGACAGUCAGGUGAGCAGUUACCGUGUACAUGGGGAGAAAGUAGCCACUGAUGACUGACAGCUAUAGACAGGGCUCCUAGCAUUUGGGCUGGGGUAGGAGGUUGG
rnacentral:lncRNA from 1 species